rnacentral:rRNA from 1 species
AUUGAACGCUGGCGGCAGGCCUAACACAUGCAAGUCGAGCGAGUGGCGGACGGGUGAGUAAUGUAUGGGGAACUGCCUGAUAGAGGGGGAUAACUACUGGAAACGGUGGCUAAUACCGCAUACCAUCAGAUGUGCCCAGAUGGGAUUAGCUAGUGGGUGGGGUAAAGGCUCACCAAGGCGACGAUCCCUAGCUGGUCUGAGAGGAUGACCAGCCACACUGGAACUGAGACACGGUCCAGACUCCUACGGGAGGCAGCAGUGGGGAAUAUUGCACAAUGGGCGCAAGCCUGAUGCAGCCAUGCCGCGUGUAUGAAGAAGGCCUUCGGGUUGUAAAGCACUUUCAGCGGGGAGGCGUUACCCGCAGAAGAAGCACCGGCUAACUCCGUGCCAGCAGCCGCGGUAAUUC